GAGCAGGUGGUGGAACGGCAGACACGUAAGGUUUAGGUCCUUAUGCCCUUUGGGCGUGCGGGUUCGACUCCCGCCCUGCUCA
rnacentral:tRNA from 1 species